AUACGGAGGAUGCGAGCGUUAUCCGGAUUUAUUGGGUUUAAGGGGAGCGUAGGUGGGAUAUUAAGUCAGCUGUGAAAGUUUGGGGCUCAACCUUAAAAUUGCAGUUGAUACUGGUUUCCUUGAGUACGGUACAGGUGGGCGGAAUUCGUGGUGUAGCGGUGAAAUGCUUAGAUAUCACGAAGAACUCCGAUCGCGAAGGCAGCUCACCGGGCCGGAACUGACACUGAUGCUCGAAAGUGCGGGUAUCAAACAGGAUUAGAUACCCUGGUAGUCCGCACAGUAAACGAUGAAUACUCGCUGUUUGCGAUACACGGUAAGCGGCCAAGCGAAAGCGUUAAGUAUUCCACCUGGGGAGUACGCCGGCAACGGUGAAACUCAAAGGAAUUGACGGGG
rnacentral:rRNA from 1 species